UCGAGUGGUCAAAUGCGCUGGCCAUAUAUGACCACUGGGCAUAUAUUUUCCUUCGGAUGACACGUGGUCAAACAGGAUUAACAACAUAAAAUAUGUAUUGAUUAUUUGUCUCCGGGAUCAUAUUGAUAGCGACUAAAUAUAAUGGAAAAGUCAUCGUCUGGUUUAAACUAAAAGCAUUAUUUUUUCAAAUAUCCAAGCGCACCCUAUACAUUACUAUAACUACAUGUAGUUAAAUCAUCGUCAAAAGCCUGUGUGAUACCGUUUUGUGGGAAUACGUGAUACGUGCA
rnacentral:lncRNA from 1 species